CCUACGGGAGGCAGCAGUGAGGAAUAUUGGUCAAUGGCCGGAAGGCUGAACCAGCCAUGCCGCGUGAAGGUCAGUGCCCUAUGGGCGUUAAACUUCUUUUGUGCGGGAGCAAUAAUGGUCACGGCUGGCCAGACUAGAGUACCGUACGAAUAAGCAUCGGCUAACUCCGUGCCAGCAGCCGCGGUAAUACGGGGGGUGGCAGCGUUAUUCCGAUUUAUUGGGUUUAAAGGGGGCGUAGGGUGGGAGGUAAGGCAGCGGGGAAAUGCCCCCGCUCAACGGGGUGAAGUGCCAUUGAUACUGUCGUGCUAGAGUGCGGAUGCGGUGGGAGGAAUGUGUGGUGUAGCGGUGAAAUGCAUAGAUAUCACACAGAACACCGAUUGCGAAGGCAUCUCACGAAGCUGCGUUUGACGCUGAUGCACGAAAGCGUGGGUAUCAAACAGGAUUAGAUACCCUGGUAGUC
rnacentral:rRNA from 1 species